rnacentral:rRNA from 1 species
UACGAAGGGGGCUAGCGUUGCUCGGAAUCACUGGGCGUAAAGCGCACGUAGGCGGCUUGUUAAGUCAGGGGUGAAAUCCUGGAGCUCAACUCCAGAACUGCCUUUGAUACUGAGGAGCUUGAGUCCGGGAGAGGUGAGUGGAACUGCGAGUGUAGAGGUGAAAUUCGUAGAUAUUCGCAAGAACACCAGUGGCGAAGGCGGCUCACUGGCCCGGUACUGACGCUGAGGUGCGAAAGCGUGGGGAGCAAACAGG